rnacentral:lncRNA from 1 species
ACUAAGGUUUUUGAAGUUCAUGCCAAGCCUUGUUCCCGACCCCAGUAUGUGAUAUUAUAUAUACAUAUAUGUACUGCAUAUGAUAUGAUACAUUAUAUGUUGUACCGGUUUUGAACUAUUAUCAUGGCAUUAUUUUGUUCCUCUAUCCCUAAGUUUUAUGCUAGCGCUCCAACCAUUAUCUGUCUUCAGACGUUGUAUCCCUACGCAAUAUGGAAAUUGGCCAUACUUUCACAUCUC